rnacentral:rRNA from 1 species
GAUGAACGUUAGCGGCAGGCCUAAUACAUGCAAGUCGGACGGGAUUUGGGAGCUUGCUCCCAAUGAGAGUGGCGCACGGGUGCGUAACACGUAUGUAAUCUACCUUAAUCAGGGGGAUAGCCUCUCGAAAGAGAGAUUAACACCGCAUAACAUGUUUUUAUGGCAUCGUAGAAAUAUCAAAUAUUUAUAGGAUUAAGAUGGGCAUGCGGAACAUUAGCUAGUUGGUAAGGUAACGGCUUACCAAGGCUACGAUGUUUAGGGGAUCUGAGAGGAUGACCCCCCACACUGGUACUGAGACACGGACCAGACUCCUACGGGAGGCAGCAGUAAGGAAUAUUGGUCAAUGGGCGCAAGCCUGAACCAGCCAUGCCGCGUGCAGGAAGACGGCCCUAUGGGUUGUAAACUGCUUUUGUACCGGAAUAAACCCUUUUACGUGUAAAAGGCUGAAUGUACGGUAAGAAUAAGGAUCGGCUAACUCCGUGCCAGCCGCCGCGGUAA